AUGAAUUCAAGAAAAGAAGUUAUUUGUGGUAAAUGAUUUCAGUUUUCUUUUUAUCAUUGUUUUAUGCACAAAAAUAUUUAUUUUUGUGUUAUAAGUAAGUAAGUAAGUAAUUUAUUUAUUAUAGUGACAUGUGUUUUAAAUACAAUAUUUCACAACACUGAUUUUACAAAGUACAUAAAUUAUUGAACACCCGGCCCAAACGGACCUAUAUGUCACUUUGAAUCAAUAUAUAUGUAUCAUAACAUUGUAUAUAUACAUGCGAAUGGUGAUAUAAGAUUAUAUCUUAUAUAUAGAUAUUAUAUAUAAUGUUAUAAGUGGGUUAGUGCACAAUCUGAGUGCAACGAGUACAUGCGAACGAAUUUAACAUCUAAUUUUUUUAAAUAAAAUGGUAGAUUUGCUCAAGUCUCUAUAUAUUUAAUAAGCAGUGCUCUCUUUCAUACUUUUUGAUUAUGCCAAACAUAUGUUUGGUUAUAUUUUAAGUAUGGUAGAGAGCAAACAAAUAAAGAAAUAAACUCAACAUAGAGACCUGGGUUUACAAGUGAAAUGGUUAGAGGAGUCACCUCCCGUUACCUGUUUAUGUAUUAAUACUUAAUUAUUGUAAAUAUUGUAAUUAAUUGGUCAAUUGAAAAAAAAAUAAGCAAGUAACAUUAAUAAAUGAUAUCAAGUUAGAUGAUAAGAUUUUUUCUUGUCUAAAGAGGGCUAGUUUGCCGUUAUUUUAUCAUACUAUAGUUGGAAACUUUACUAUAUUGAAAAAAGUGGAGUAUAUGAAACGUUACAACAUUGGUGUUGAGAGAAUUGUUAAAAUACCAUAGUCUAUGUCUACAUUUGAUUCAAUGUGGAGUUGUGUAAGAUUUUUCUGUUAAGUUUACCUGAUAUUGUGAUUCCAUAUCCUGAGCUUGUCGAGGCAAUAUUUUAAUUAACUACCGAAAUAGAUUACAGAUUCUUCGCAUUCUUGCGUAUAAUACGAUAUGCGUGACUGGAACAAAUUAUGCAAUUCUAUACUAAAAUCAUUAAAAUAACAAGUUACUAGAUAUUAAUUGACCUUCAAGCAAAAUAUCAAAUGAUUAGAAGAAUAUUUUCAAUUAUAAAGCAUACAUAGAUCUGUAACGUAGAUUGUAUAACAAUCGAGACAGUUUACUGUUAUCUCGACACUUUAUGAAUAUAAUACAGGUGCUUUUUUACCAGAAGUUUGUUCGUAAGAAGCAUUCAUGUACAUUCGCUCAUGUGACCUAUUGCUUUUUUGUUCCGCGUCCGUUGUCAUCCGCUAUUUUUUAAACCCAUGAAUUGAUUAAUAUUUUAAAGAAUUCCAUGAUUAUACUUUCAUCUAAAAUACGACCAGGUACCUGAAUAUACCUCUAUUGAACUCAAACUAAUUAUAACCUUAUUUACAUACCCGAGCUCACUGGGACGUAAAUAGUACACACGAAACCCUAAGAGUUUCAAGUUCUUUAUUCACUUAAUCCACCAGUACGUGGUACAUGAGAUCAAGUACAUGUGAUACAUUCUAAUGGGGAAAGAGAUACAGGGAAGAGAGACACAAACAUAACAAGGACAAGUUGUGUCUGACACAAUAGGGUGUGAAAAACAAGACUGAAGCUGUGAAAGAUUUGACCACAUAAGGUUUUCUUGCAACACGCAUUGCCUAGCAUAGCAGAACAGUGUUUAGACCCUACAGUCACGAUAGAAUAUGUGAAUUCAUGUCCAGAAAGCGCAACAGCUUGGCAGAAAGCUUCAGAAAAGAAAAAUUGUUCUGCGUAUGAGAAAGCAUGUGAGGAAAACACAUCUUUCAAGUAUCACUGUCUAGUAAAUGCAUAUUGGAACGCUACGUUGGAGAUUUGUGCUGCCGAAGUAUCUAUUGUUGGUCAUUAUUGUCCAGAAUAUAACGAAUAUGGAAACCUUAUUCAAGAACAUCAUGGCACAGUCUGCAAAGCAUGUCCCUUUUAUUACUAUUCAACGGAGAUAUAUAAAUAUCCAUGCUGUUUCCAGCAUCGAAAUGUAGAAGAUAUGAAUGCAACACCAUUGACAACUACAUAUGCGGAGAGUACUAGUACACAUAGUGCUUUUGAAAGUACAACAAACUCAAUAUUCAUUAUUGAGCCAACAUCGACAGCAAGCACAAGAACCUCUGCUUCAAACCCAAUCACCGCCAACAUCCUUGGGUGCACAUUAAUGAUCUUCAUGUUAGUAGCAGCCUGCUUUUUAUGGAUAUUUUUAAACGAAAGAAUACAAAGGAAUACAGACACUGAGGAUUGUAAUGGAAAUUCCCUAUUAGGCAGCAUAUUUUCUAAAUAACAUGAUGAUAGCUGCCCAAUUACAUAACUCAAGUUGGGUUUAGAACGUGUUAUUGUACUCUUGAUAAUAUGUUGAUCUUGUAGAUUCCUUUUCACUCAUUAAUUAGGAAUAAAUACAUGUUUUGUUUGAAUUAUUUUCAUUUUAAUGCCAUUUGGGUAAAUUGUCUCUUAUGUAAACAAUUCUAACUGCAAUGUAUUGUAUAAUUGAG